rnacentral:lncRNA from 1 species
AACAAAACUCAAAACAACACCAAAAAGCUGUUGGAAUUUUCCGCCUCAUUUAAAGGGCAGGUUGAUCAUCUUGAGGGGCUUUGUAUCCUUUGGGGUCUCUCUGUUCAAAUUCUGCUCAACUCUCUGGAUAAGAUUUUGGGUACAUCAACUGCAACUAAACAGCUCAAUCCUAAAAAACUGCUUUUAGUGUUGUCUGAGAAUUCACUUCGAAUCCAAGAGGCAGUCAGAAUCACCGCUGUGAGCUGCAGAAGUGCUUACAGGUCCAAACAGUUGACAGAUUAUGAGGAUGAACUAAAAACACUGACUGAGGACUACCUUGAAGCUGCUGAGGAACUUCACAUAAUGCCCAGUGUGACGAAAUUAGCUAAAUCAGAGUUCAUUCAGAGACACCUUUGGAUUAAAAUCAGAAUGCUUUUGGGCCAUUUAAGCAAAGAAAACAAAGACUAUGUUACAGCUUUUCAAAAUAUUGUCAGUAUUGCAUACAUUGCUGCUGAGCACAGCACAGAAGAGGCUGAAGCCAAAUUUAAAAACGCCGCUCAAACAUUGGUGGGAAACUUUGAAUCAGCGACAAAAAUACUGGGGCGCAGCUUAAACUACAUCCGAGACCCCCGAACCCGCUCCAACCUGAGGUCUAUCACUGACCAUCUGUCCAUUCAGAUCUCUGAGAUCAUCAGCAGGGCCAGGCUCAUGGUUGAGACGCACUACAUUUGCGAUACUCUCAGUCUAGAUGUGCACAUACAAGGCUGGUGUGCAAAAGCUCGUUUUGUGGUAGAAGAAAUACAAAAGCAGGAAGGGAUUCACCAAGAGGCUAAAGACCAAAUCAAGUUGGGAUUCGAGGGCAGAAAUCCUGAAGUAGUGACAAGAAUCCCAACCAAGGUUAUAGAGGUGGACUUUUCUCCCCACAACACAAUGAGUUCAGCUCAGAAUGACGACCCAGUUCAUCAUUUACCCACUAUUCAAACUGAUGUACAUAGUGUACCAAAAUACCAGCCUGGGAAAUGUAUAAAACAUGAUGGCGGAUACAAAGCAGACUCCUCCCUAACCUACACCUCCCUGUUCCUGAAGCGUGAAAGCAACACGUGGGAUCCAAAAGACAACAGAAUUGUCCAGGUGACCAGGAAAAUGGCUGACACUAUAUGUUACAUGACUCAGUACCUGAAGAAGAGAGGCCCACUACUGGUAACAUGCUUCACAGCCCACGUUUCCAAAUACCUGCAAGCAUUCAUUGACUUUAUUCUUCCAGAACAAAGAGGCAUUUGUCAGCGCAGCCAAAGACCUGAUCUCACAGUGCCAGUCAGUCACUCACUUCCUCAGAGUUAUCUCUUACCACAGUCUGGAUAAACAGUGUACUGUUGAACUGUCCCUCAUUGUGGAGCAGAUUCUCACCAUCACCAAUCAGCUCAGCAUCAUCUCCAGGUCAGGAAGCUGCAGCUCAAACAACUAUAUAGGAAAUAAGAGGAAUAAAGGUGACAGGAGUGUUUUUUUUUCCUUCUUG